GGUCGUUCUAGGUGAACCAAGUGACCUGCGUCUACAAUCGUCAUCUCAAGCGAUUCCUUGCUUCCCUGCAAGGUGUUGAACUACAGAAGUGAAAAUCUGCCUUGCAUCUGUCAACAUACCCUCCUUUUAUUUGCACUCUGCAACAUCUUUGCCGCCAGAAAAAACACUAUUAAAUGUAUUGAAUUUCUUUAUUUUUGUUUUUUUCUCCUUUGAGCAUAUAACAAAUCAAGAGUUAAAAGAAUGGAACAACACAUGAUCCAAGGCGAGUUCAUAAACACAACUGAGUCAAUUUGCGUCAAUAAAUGAUUUAGUUGAAAGCAGAUCACACAAGCUUGUAUAAACACUUCUAUCUGAAGGAUGAUUGUAUUUCUUCCAGAGUUCUUCCUUUGGUUUCAGGCACCCACAGAGUCACAAAAACAACAGUAAAAGCAGUCACCACCGUGUAAAUAGUAAAAGUUCCUCCACUAUUCCAACUCAACAGCAAGUUUGCAGUCAUUGUGACCACCCAGGACGAGUCAGCCAAUUUGCCAAUGUUGCUAUACUGCCAGCAAGGCCCUUAAUAUUCACUGGGAGUAU
rnacentral:misc_RNA from 1 species